GUGGGGAAUCUUAGACAAUGGGCGCAAGCCUGAUCUAGCCAUGCCGCGUGAGCGAUGAAGGCCUUAGGGUUGUAAAGCUCUUUCGUGGGGGAAGAUAAUGACUGUACCCCAAGAAGAAGCCCCGGCUAACUCCGUGCCAGCAGCCGCGGUAAUACGGAGGGGGCUAGCGUUGUUCGGAAUUACUGGGCGUAAAGCGCACGUAGGCGGACUGGAAAGUCAGGGGUGAAAUCCCGGGGCGCAACCCCGGAACUGCCUUUGAAACUCCCAGUCUUGAGUUCGAGAGAGGUGAGUGGAAUUCCGAGUGUAGAGGUGAAAUUCGUAGAUAUUCGGAGGAACACCAGUGGCGAAGGCGGCUCACUGGCUCGAUACUGACGCUGAGGUGCGAAAGCGUGGGGAGCAAACAGGAUUAGAUACCCGUGUAGUCC
rnacentral:rRNA from 1 species